UACGUAGGGUGCAAGCGUUAAUCGGAAUUACUGGGCGUAAAGCGUGCGCAGGCGGUUAUGCAAGACAGAGGUGAAAUCCCCGGGCUCAACCUGGGAACUGCCUUUGUGACUGCAUAGCUAGAGUACGGUAGAGGGGGAUGGAAUUCCGCGUGUAGCAGUGAAAUGCGUAGAUAUGCGGAGGAACACCGAUGGCGAAGGCAAUCCCCUGGACCUGUACUGACGCUCAUGCACGGAAGCGUGGGGAGCAAACAGG
rnacentral:rRNA from 1 species